UACGAAGGGGGCUAGCGUUGUUCGGAAUUACUGGGCGUAAAGCGCGCGCAGGCGGUCUUCCAAGUCAGGCGUGAAAGCCCCGGGCUUAACCUGGGAGGUGCGCUUGGGACUGGGUGGCUAGAGAUCGGGAGAGGAGAGUGGAAUUCCCAGUGUAGAGGUGAAAUUCGUAGAUAUUGGGAAGAACACCGAUGGGCGAAGGCAGGUCUCUGGGCCACUACUGACGCUGAGAAGCGAAAGCAUGGGGAGCGAACAGG
rnacentral:rRNA from 1 species